UCGCCGCCGCCGACGUCGCGAGAAGUCCACUGAACCUUAUCAUUUAGAGGAAGGAGAAGUCGUAACAAGGUUUCCGUAGGUGAACCUGCGGAAGGAUCAUUGUCGAUGCCUACAAAGCAGAACGACCAGCGAACCGUUUCUUAAACACACGGGACACCGGAGGGGCGUUUAGCUGCCCGGUAUCCCCAAGCUUCGGAUGCUUGAGGGUGCGAUCCGCCCCCAGCAGAUGGAGCAUCAAACACACCCCGGCGUGCAAAGCGCCAAGGUACUACAACGGUAGGGCAAGCACCCGUACGCCUGGAAUCCGGCGCGUUCGGGUGUCUGUUCGGUGUCAURAAUCUAAACGACUUGUGAAUUGCAGAAUCCCGUGAACCAUCGAGUCUUUGAACGCAAGUUGCGCCUGAAGCCUUGGCUGAGGGCACGCCUGCCUGGGUGUCACACAUCGCGUUGCCUCCAAAACCUUUCCCCUUAUAACAUUGUGGCGAUGGUUUGGAUGCGGAAGAUGGCCUCCCGUGGCCGAGAGCCACGGAUGGCCAAAAUUUGUGCUAGGGAAGCGAAGCGCCACGGCGUUCGGUGGUCGGAACAGCCCUUGAGGCGUUGAAGCCCGUGGUAGCCGCUAGAGUCCCCAGCCCACGACCCUAAUCGUUAACCGACGCGACCUCAGGUCAGGCGGGGCUACCCGCUGAGUUUAAGCAUAUCAAUAAGCGGAGG
rnacentral:rRNA from 1 species